UAUGGCUCAGGAUUAACGUUGGCGGCGUGCCUAACACAUGCAAGUCGAACGAAAUAUCUUCGGAUAUUUAGUGGCGAACGGGUGAGUAAUGUACAGGUAAUGUACCUUCGUACUGCGAAUAACAAGCUGAAAAGUUUGCUAAUACGGAAUAGUUUCCUUCGAGGGCAUCCUUAAAGGAAUAAAGAUUUAUCGUGCGGAGAUCAGCCUGUAUCCUAUUAGUUAGUUGGUGGGGUAAUGGCCUACCAAGACGACGAUGGGUAACUGGUCUGAGAGGAUGAGCAGUCACAUUGGAACUGAGAAACGGUCCAAACUCCUACGGGAGGCAGCAGUGAGGAAUUUUGCGCAAUGGGGGAAACCCUGACGCAGCAACGCCGCGUGAGUGACGACGGCCUUCGGGUUGUAAAGCUCUGUCGUGUGUGACGAGUAGGGACGGUAACACACAAGGAAGCCUCGGCUAACUACGUGCCAGCCGCUGC
rnacentral:rRNA from 1 species